UGGUAAGUGCAGUGUCCAUCGCCAUGCAAGUCGAGCGGAUGACGGGAGCUUGCUCCUUGAUUCAGCGGCGGUAUGGGUGAGAUAAUGCCUAGGAAUCUGCCUGGUAGUGGGGGACAACGUUUCGAAAGGAACGCUAAUACCGCAUACGUCCUACGGGGGAAAGCAGGGGACCUUCGGGCCUUGCGCUAUCAGAUGAGCCUAGGUCGGAUUAGCUAGUUGGUGAGGUAAUGGCUCACCAAGGCGACGAUCCGUAACUGGUCUGAGAGGAUGAUCAGUCACACUGGAACUGAGACACGGUCCAGACUCCUACGGGAGGCAGCAGUGGGGAAUAUUGGACAAUGGGCGAAAGCCUGAUCCAGCCAUGCCGCGUGUGUGAAGAAGGUCUUCGGAUUGUAAAGCACUUUAAGUUGGGAGGAAGGGCAGUAAGUUAAUACCUUUUCUGUUUUGACGUUACCGACAGAAUAAGCACCGGCUAACUCUGUGCCAGCAGCCGCGGUAAUACAGAGGGUGCAAGCGUUAAUCGGAAUUACUGGGGCGUAAAGCGCGCGUAGGUGGUUCGUUAAGUUGGGAUGUGAAAGCCCCGGGCUCAACCUGGGAACUGCAUCCAAAACUGGGCGAGCUAAAGUACCGGUAGAGGGUGGUGGGAAUUUUCCUGUGUACCGGUGAAAUGCGUUAGAUAGAGGGAAAGGAACACCAGGUGCUGAUGGGCGACCCC
rnacentral:rRNA from 1 species